UCUUAUUGCAAUGAAGGGAAUAAAAGAAGUCAGAUAUUUGUUACGGAUGGUUUCUGAAGACAAGCUAGUCCUUCCCCUCUCAUUCUUCAGAUGAGGAGGAGGCAAACAAUCGUCCAACUUCACAAGAGCUGGCAGGAAAACUAGGAUGAGCUUGAGCUUCUGCCAUGGAAUGAGGCCAGUGCCAAGCUCCUGGACUUCCCGAUCUCCAAACUUCUGAUCCCUUGUUUUCAUCCUGCUCAGAGGAAGUGAAGUAACAUCUAAUGAGAAAAUGGGGGAGGAAUAAACCCGGAUUCUUGGCUGAGCUCCUCCUGCUGUGUCUUCCCGGGGGCGAGUCAGCCCAUGAAGAGCACAGGUGCACUCCAUGACCCCGGCAGCCCUGCAGUGACUGCAAGGACCUGAUUCUGGGCUUUGACAUAUGGAAG